UACGUAGGGGGCUAGCGUUGUCCGGAUUUAUUGGGCGUAAAGAGCGUGUAGGCGGCCGGGUAAGUCCGGUGUGAAAACUCGAGGCUUAACCUCGAGAUGUCAUCGGAAACUAUUCGGCUAGAGUCCGGAAGAGGAGAGUGGAAUUCCUGGUGUAGCGGUGAAAUGCGCAGAUAUCAGGAAGAACACCUAUGGCGAAAGCAGCUCUCUGGGACGGUACUGACGCUGAGACGCGAAAGCGUGGGGAGCGAACAGGAUUAGAAACCCCU
rnacentral:rRNA from 1 species